rnacentral:lncRNA from 1 species
UCAAUAGGAGAUUAGAGAUCGUGAUCAUUUGCUUUGUUUCCAGUGCUUGUCGCAGUUUGAAAAAGGUUAGCUCCAUGGUUGCCCUCUUGUUCCUAAAAGAGCUCUGGUUGAAGAUUCUUGAAAGCCACUUCUCUGUUGUGUAGAGUGCAGGAAGUGUCACCAGCGACGAGGACCGGGGCAGCCCCGCCGGGAACACGCCACCACUGCCGGUGGAAAAUCACAGGAGUUUCCAGUGCUGUUAUUCGUGAAUGUUGCAUCAUAUGUUAGGAGAAUCGUUUCACUAUGUGACCUAAUUCAACAUCACCGCUACUGAUAUGGCCCCCAGCGUGAAGGAUGACAAUUAGGGGG